rfam:Erinaceus europaeus unplaced genomic scaffold scaffold00041, whole genome shotgun sequence
GCAUGUGAGGGUAAUCUGUCACCCUAUUGACUGGUAGGGUUGAUUCGACUGAUCUGUCUGGCUAGGUGUCCCCUUCCUCCCUCACCACUCCAUGUGUGUCCCUCCAGAAGCUGCAGCCUUGGUGAAUAGAGAUAGAUCGGGGUCUUUGGUCGAGGGUGUAUGCAUGGCUGAGCUCCCCUCAUAAAACCUCCGAAUAAGCUCUCAGGUUGAGUUUUGAGCUACAACACUAUCCGGAUUCCUUGUAGCCAUCAAAUUCUAGGAUGGAGGGUUCUUACUGUCCAUCCUGUGAGUU